rnacentral:rRNA from 1 species
CCUACGGGGGGCUGCAGUGAGGAAUAUUGGUCAAUGGACGAGAGUCUGAACCAGCCACGUAGCGUGAAGGAUGACUGCCCUAUGGGUUUUAACCUUUUUUUAUAUGGAAGUAAAAUGUUCCACGUGUGGGAUUUUGUACGUACCAUAUGAAUAAGCAUGGGCUAACUCCGUGCCAGCAGCCGCGGUAAUACGGAGGAUCCGAGCGUUAUCCGGAUUUAUUGGGUUUAAGGGGAGCGUAGGUGGAUUGUUAAGUCAGUUGUGAAAGUUUGCGGCUCAACCGUGAAAUUGCAGUUGAAACUGGCAGUCUUGAGUGCAGUAGAGGUGGGCGGAAUUCGUGGUGUAGCGGUGAAAUGCUUAGAUAUAACGAAGAACUCCGAUUGCGAAGGCAGUUCACUGGACUGCAACUGACACUGAGGCUCGAAAGUGUGGGUAUCAAACAGGAUUAGAUACCCCAGUAGUC